GACGUAGGGCGCAAGCGUUGUCCGGAUUUAUUGGGCGUAAAGAGCUCGUAGGCGGCUUGUCACGUCGGGUGUGAAAGCCCGGGGCUUAACCCCGGGUCUGCAUUCGAUACGGGCUGGCUAGAGUGUGGUAGGGGAGAUCGGAAUUCCUGGUGUAGCGGUGAAAUGCGCAGAUAUCAGGAGGAACACCGGUGGCGAAGGCGGAUCUCUGGGCCAUUACUGACGCUGAGGAGCGAAAGCGUGGGGAGCGAACAGG
rnacentral:rRNA from 1 species